AGCAACCCCUGAUAGUUUUUUCUACUAUAGGUAUGUUCUCCAUUGAAAUAUGUCCAGAAUCAUCACCAUAGCACGUACAGAGCCCAAUGGACAUGGACCUGUGCAUGUGGGCCACACAUUUUGCGCCGCGGCAGAGGCAACCCGACACCUCUCCGAAGAAACACUCCCACUUUGAAACAUUUCACUCUUGGGAACAUUUUUUGAGUCUCUCGAAAUUUCCACUCUCCUCAGAUGAGGGGUUGUGGUUGGUUUGCCUCACCGUCAAAUGAAAGUACGGGUAACCACCGAUAUGGUAUGAAAGGGCACAAGAUGUAUAGCCCCACCUCCCGAAAAACAGAUUUCAGUUCUGCAAAAAAGGACAGAUUGUGUAAUCCCCAUACUGGUGUUAAAAGAGUGAACACAUCUGUUUCUCAUUGUUGUUUUUUUCUACUUCUUUCUGUCCUCAUUUUAGGGGGAACGAGAACGAAAAAAAAAGUGGCCUGCUGAAAAUCAUAUCUUGUUGGAGAAGACGGCUGGAGUGGGAUGUGGCUACCGUGGUCUGCAGAUUAUGGUUCAACUCCAUUCUCCAACUCUGUACGUCUGAUCACCCAAGUAAAGAUCUCCUAGUCCCCCUCCAGACCUGCAGGAGGCAGUCACAUCACAAUUAAGCAAACUUCCUGUCAGAUGCCAGGGACAGACGGACAGACGGACGGCCAUAUUACCUCCAGAGCAGCAGAAAAGCAAAGAAGGGAAGGCCAAAGAGACUCCUGGUCACACACAACUG